rnacentral:rRNA from 1 species
CAAGUCGAACGAUGAAGGAGGAGCUUGCUCCUCUGGAUUAGUGGCGAACGGGUGAGUAACACGUGAGCAAUCUGCCCUUGACUCUGGGAUAAGCGCUGGAAACGGCGUCUAAUACCGGAUACGACCCUCGGAGGCAUCUCCUGUGGGUGGAAAGAACUUCGGUCAAGGAUGAGCUCGCGGCCUAUCAGCUUGUUGGUGAGGUAAUGGCUCACCAAGGCGACGACCGGUAACCGGCCUGAGAAGGUGACCGGCCACACUGGGAGUGAGACACGGCCCAGACUCCUACGGGAGGCAGCAGACGGGAAUAUUUGCCCAAUGGGCGCAAGCCUGAUGCAGCAACGCCGCGUGAGGGAGGGUUGCCUUCGGGGUGGAAACCUCCUUUAACAAGGAAGAAACCAGAGUGACGGUACCUGGGCAAAAAGGGCCGGCAAAUGUCCUGCCAGCUGCCGGGGUAAUACGUAUGGUGGAAGCGGUGUCCGGAAGUAAUGGGCGUAAAGAGCUCGUAAGCUGUCUGUCGCGGCUGCUGUGAAAAGCCGAGGCUCAACCUCGGGCUUGCAGUGGGUACGGGCAGACUAGAGUGCGGUAGGGGAGAUUGAAUUCCUGGUGUAGCGGUGGAAUGCGCAGAUAUC